AUUGAACGCUGGCGGCAUGCCUUACACAUGCAAGUCGAACGGCAGCACGGGGCAACCUGGUGGCGAGUGGCGAACGGGUGAGUAAUGCAUCGGAACGUACCUUUCAGUGGGGGAUAACGUAGCGAAAGUUACGCUAAUACCGCAUAUUCUGUGAGCAGGAAAGCAGGGGAUCGCAAGACCUUGCGCUGAUUGAGCGGCCGAUGUCAGAUUAGCUAGUUGGUGAGGUAACGGCUCACCAAGGCGACGAUCUGUAGCGGGGCUGAGAGGAUGAUCCGCCACCCUGGAACUGAGACACGGUCCAGACUCCUACGGGAGUCAGCAGUGGGGAAUUUUGGACAAUGGGGGCAACCCUGAUCCAGCCAUGCCGCGUGAGUGAAGAAGGCCUUCGGGUUGUAAAGCUCUUUCGGCCGGGAAGAAAUCGCACGGGCUAAUACCCUGUGUGGAUGACGGUACCGGAAUAAGAAGCACCGGCUAACUACGUGCCAGCAGCCGCAGUAAAAC
rnacentral:rRNA from 1 species